UACGUAGGGUGCAGGCGUUAAUCGGAAUUACUGGGCGUAAAGCGUGCGCAGGCGGUUUGUUAAGACAGAUGUGAAAUCCCCGGGCUUAACCUGGGAACUGCGUUUGUAACUGGCAAGCUAGAGUGUGGCAGAGGGGGGUGGAAUUCCACGUGUAGCAGUGAAAUGCGUAGAUAUCAAGAGGAACACCUGAGGUGAAGACGGGUUGCUGGGCUGACACUGACGCUGAGGCGCGAAAGCCAGGGGAGCAAACGGG
rnacentral:rRNA from 1 species